CUGGUAACAGCAGGGGCACAUGUAAACCCCAUCCGAAGCAAGACCGGAUAGAAACUAUGUGGCUGCCCGUCACGUUUCAGGUAGGUCGCUCGAGCACAGCGGCGACGCUGUGCCUAGACAGAUGAUCGUCCGACGACAUAACCCGGCUUAUCGUCUUGCUUGGCAC
rnacentral:RNase_P_RNA from 1 species